UACGUAGGGCGCAAGCGUUAUCCGGAAUUAUUGGGCGUAAAGAGCUCGUAGGCGGCCUGUUGCGUCCGCUGUGAAAUCCCGGGGCUCAACCCCGGGCCUGCAGUGGAUACGGGCUGGCUAGAGGCAGGCAGGGGAGAACGGAAUUCCUGGUGUAGCGGUGAAAUGCGCAGAUAUCAGGAGGAACACCGGUGGCGAAGGCGGUUCUCUGGGCCUGUACUGACGCUGAGGAGCGAAAGCGUGGGGAGCGAACAGG
rnacentral:rRNA from 1 species